AAAAUCCGUCGAUUUCAAAAAUCGUGAGGGUUCAA
rnacentral:tRNA from 1 species